CUGGGUGUUGCAAAUGGUUAAUGUACUUGGCUGCUAACCAAAAGGUUGAAGCUCCCAAUCCACCCAGA
rnacentral:tRNA from 1 species